rnacentral:rRNA from 1 species
CGGAGGGUGCGAGCGUUAAUCGGAAUUACUGGGCGUAAAGCGCAUGCAGGUGGUUUGUUAAGUCAGAUGUGAAAGCCCGGGGCUCAACCUCGGAAUUGCAUUUGAAACUGGCAAACUAGAGUACUGUAGAGGGGGUAGAAUUUCAGGUGUAGCGGUGAAAUGCGUAAGAGAUCUGAAGGAAUACCGGUGGCGAAGGCGGCCCCCUGGACAGAUACUGACACUCAGAUGCGAAAGCGUGGGGAGCAAACAGGAUUAGAUACCCUGGUAG